ensembl:lncRNA
CACACUCACACACAGAAAGGCCUGGGAGAUUGCCCACCUGAGCACUGAAGGCCUGGGAGAUAGCCCACCUGAGCACUGAAGGCCCGGGAGAUAGCCCACCUGAGCACUGAAGGCCCGGGAGAUAGCCCACCUGAGCACUGAAGGUCUGGGAGAUAGCCCACCUGAGCACUGAAGGUCUGGGGAGAACCUGCCCCCCAGUACCAACAGCGCCCCAUGCGGGAAUCGAACCCAGGACCUUGUCGCCCUGAUCACAUGCAAUAAGAGAGAAAUGCAAGACACUGACAGCUGGGCCACAGCUAUUACAGGAACAACAAAAAACCAUCACACACACACACACACUCACAAACACACACACAACAACACACUCACUCUCACACAACACACACACACACACACACACACACACACACACACACACACACACACACACAC